GCUGGCGGCAGGCCUAACACAUGCAAGUCGAACGCCGUAGCAAUACGGAGUGGCAGACGGGUGAGUACACGUGGGAACAUGCCCUUCGGUUCGGAAUAACUCAGGGAAACUUGAGCUAAUACCGGAUACGCCCAAGGUUUUGCCUUGGAGAAAGAUUUAUCGCCGAAGGAUUGGCCCGCGUCUGAUUAGCUAGUUGGUGGGGUAAUGGCUCACCAAGGCGACGAUCAGUAGCUGGUCUGAGAGGAUGAUCAGCCACAUUGGGACUGAGACACGGCCCAAACUCCUACGGGAGGCAGCAGUGGGGAAUAUUGGACAAUGGGCGCAAGCCUGAUCCAGCCAUGCCGCGUGAGUGAUGAAGGCCUUAGGGUUGUAAAGCUCUUUUACCCGGGAAGAUAAUGACGGUACCGGGAGAAUAAGCCCCGG
rnacentral:rRNA from 1 species